AAUUUAUUUUAAUUCCAACAAAAAUGAUUUACAAAAACAUUUGUAAAUUUAGUUAUUAAAUUUAUAUGCAUUGCAUAUUUAUUUAUAUUAAUCAUUUAGCAUCUACACGAGCUAUUUAUUUAAGCAAACACUGAACGAUUAUUUCAGUUUUCAUAGUACAACCCGGAAGACUUUUUAUUUUAUUUUAUUUUAUAUACUCACCUACUCCCUCCCACUACACCCACCUACUCCCUCCUUUUUAAAAAAAUUAACAUCACUACCCACUCCCACCACCAACUCCCUGCCAAACCCACUGAUAUACUUCACCCAUCCCCUUCCACUUUUACUCAAUCUCCCACACAAUUUGCCAUAUUUCACUUUCAAAAGGAAACCCAACGAACAAGUGCAGAGGUAAGAACUGCAAUCAUAAUUUCAUAAUUUAUUUCUUACAACACAAACUCUCCACCUCAAUGAAUAUACGAUAUGUGAAUCAAUUUCAGCUGCCACACAAAUUCAAACAAACCCAUUCUUGAGUAUCACAUUCUGAAAAUUUCAAACUUCACAAAACAAAGAAUCAUAUGCAUAUAUAUGUUCAUUGACCUUUAUUAUAACAAGCAUUUAUAUGAAUAUACAUAUGUAUACUAAGAGUUUAUUUUUUUAAAAAAAAAUGAAUGAACUUUGGGGUCUUGUUGUCGUCUGUUGUAUGAGUGUGUAGCGGCGUCGGGACGGCAACGAGUUUUCUGCCGGUUGUCCGGCCGGAUGUGUGAGAGGGUGAUGGGCGAGCAGCUACUGCUGUUGGUGAGGCAAGAGAAAAAUGGGAGGAACUUGAGGGCUGGAAUCGGCAGGUGGCGACUUCUGGCUAUCACUGCCGGAGUUAGAGAAUAGGGGUCGAUGGCGGUGGUGGUCUAUUGACUGUUGUCGCCGGAGAUCGAGACUAGGGUGGUGGUUGAAGGAGAUAGAGUCGAGGGAGACGAGGAGAGAGGCGGCAAUGGCUGCCAAUAGUUGUUGUCAUCGGUACAGAGAGAGAGAGUCGGCUGGAUGGAGUGUCUCGCCGGGAUUUUGGAGGCGGCGGCAGUGGCUUCUCGCUGCUGACUCGCCGGAGUUCCAGAGAGGAAUAGUGGCGGCGCGAUUUGGUUAGGUUGGAGGGAGAUGAGGCCGGUGGCCUUUCGCCGGAGACGAAGGCCGCGGCAGCGGAACUUAUGGCUGAGAGUGAGAGGGUCUGAGCGGACGGUGGAGCGGCAGCUUAUCGCUGCUACUCGCCGGAGUCAGGGGAGAGAGAGAGCGGCUCUCGCUGCUGCUCGUUGGCGGAAGAGCAGUCGAGAGAGAACCGACUGAUGGUGAGGAUGACGGAGCGGCGCUCGUCGCCGGGGAUGGUGGCACGCGGCCGUGAAGUCCGAGCAGAGAGAAGAGAGAGGCGAGAGAGGCGUGAGAGUGAGAGUGCGGCUGAUGGGGGGAGAAGAAAGGAGAAGAAGGGUGAGGGUUGGGCUUUGAGUGUUGGGCCAUUUUUUUUAAUUGCAGUUGGGCUGAUUGGUUUUAAUUAGACUGGGCCGGAAUUUAUUUAAUAGUGUUUGGGUCCGAUUGUAUUAUUAAUUUUAUGUGGGCUGAGUUUAUUUAAUAGUUUGGGCCUUUGUUUUAAUUGCCUGGGCUGCGGAAUUCUAAGAAUUGGCCCUUACAUUUAAUUAUUUUGGGUAGUCCAUAAUUUAAUUAAUUUGACUAUAAUUAAUUUGAUUAAUUAUUUUAAAGAUGAUUUGCAUAAUAAUAUUAUAUUAUUAUUAUGUGCAUAUUUUAAGUGAUUACUUAUUAUAUGCUAAGCAUGAUAUGUAUUUGCAUAUGCAUUUUUGCAAAUAAAAGUACUCAUGAUUUAAAUUGGUUUUCAUUAAAUCAAAUUUUCAAAAGAAAGUCGAGUAAGAAUAUUGUUGGUGUUCUUAACUCAAGAAUUUAGUUUUCAAAUAUUUAUUAAAUUUUGAAAACCCGGCUAAGUGAAUCAUAGGAUGAUAAGCACUUCACCAUGACUUAAGAUUAGAUUGAGAAAACCUAUUAAGAAUAGA
rnacentral:lncRNA from 1 species